GGGUCAGUAGGUUGGUCGUGCCACCGGUACGUACUGGUCUCACUGAUUCCUCCUUCCCGAAGAACCGUAAUGCCAUUAAUUUGGUGUUGCGGGGAAACAGGACUGUUACUUUGAAAAAAUUAGAGUGUUUAAAGCAAGCUAACGCUUGAAUACAUUAGCAUGGAAUAAUGAAAUAGGACGAUCGAUCCUAUUUUGUUGGUCUCUAGGAUUGACGUA
rnacentral:rRNA from 1 species